GUGGGGAAUAUUGGACAAUGGGCGAAAGCCUGAUCCAGCCAUGCCGCGUGUGUGAAGAAGGUCUUCGGAUUGUAAAGCACUUUAAGCGAGGAGGAGGCUACCGAGAUUAAUACUCUUGGAUAGUGGACGUUACUCGCAGAAUAAGCACCGGCUAACUCUGUGCCAGCAGCCGCGGUAAUACAGAGGGUGCAAGCGUUAAUCGGAUUUACUGGGCGUAAAGCGCGCGUAGGUGGCCAAUUAAGUCAAAUGUGAAAUCCCCGAGCUUAACGUGGGAGUUGCAUUCGAUACUGGUUGGCUAGAGUAUGGGAGAGGAUGGUAGAAUUCCAGGUGUAGCGGUGAAAUGCGUAGAGAUCUGGAGGAAUACCGAUGGCGAAGGCAGCCAUCUGGCCUAAUACUGACACUGAGGUGCGAAAGCAUGGGGAGCAAACAGGAUUAGAAACCCUGGUAGUCC
rnacentral:rRNA from 1 species